AUGACUGACAGUUCGGAGCAGCACGGAACUGGUGAAAGUGGCAAAAGCACCUUUAUCAAGCAGAUGAGAAUCAUCCAUGGGUCUGGCUACAGCGACGAAGACAGAAAGGGGUUCACGAAGCUGGUUUACCAAAACAUAUUCACUGCCGUGCAAGCCCUGAUCAGGGCCAUGGACACCCUGAAGAUACAGUACGUGUGUGAGCAGAAUAAGGAAAAUGCCCAGCUAAUCAGAGAAGUGGAAGUAGACAAGGUGACCACGCUCUCCAGGGACCAGGUGGAGGCCAUCAAGCAGCUGUGGCAGGAUCCUGGAAUCCAGGAGUGCUACGAUCGCAGGCGGGAGUACCAACUGUCAGACUCUGCCAAAUAUUACCUGACGGACAUUGACCGGAUCGCCAUGCCAUCAUUCGUGCCAACACAGCAGGAUGUGCUUCGUGUCCGAGUGCCCACCACUGGCAUCAUUGAGUAUCCGUUUGACCUGGAAAACAUCAUCUUUCGGAUGGUGGAUGUUGGUGGCCAACGAUCGGAAAGACGGAAAUGGAUUCACUGCUUUGAGAGUGUCACCUCCAUUAUUUUUUUGGUUGCUCUGAGUGAAUAUGACCAGGUGCUGGCUGAGUGUGACAAUGAGAACCGCAUGGAAGAGAGUAAAGCCUUAUUUAAAACUAUCAUCACCUACCCCUGGUUUCUCAACUCAUCAGUGAUUCUGUUCUUAAACAAGAAGGAUCUUUUGGAAGAGAAAAUCAUGUACUCUCAUCUAAUUAGCUAUUUUCCAGAAUACACUGGACCAAAGCAAGACGUCAAAGCUGCCAGAGAUUUCAUCCUGAAGCUUUAUCAAGAUCAGAAUCCUGACAAAGAGAAAGUCAUCUAUUCCCACUUCACAUGUGCUACAGACACAGAGAAUAUCCGCUUUGUGUUUGCUGCUGUGAAAGACACAAUUCUACAACUAAACCUGAGGGAAUUCAACCUGGUUUAAAAGCUGCUGUGCACCCCUCACCUGGGCCAGAAAACCAGAUUUGUUUUAUUUGCAAGUGCUCUAACAUCACCCAGCUCAGCCCACUUGGUGGCGCCAAGUCCAUCAUGCAGCCACAGGGACAACGAUGGGUGAUGGAGCUUGUAAGAUGUUUGAAUUCAGCAAAACUUUUUCAAAGUCUUGCUUUUACAUUUCUUUUCUUAACUUUAAGCUGUAAGAUUUUUGUAUAAUUUUUGAAUUUGGUAUUCUACAAAAGUCUAAAAAGCCACUGUGAUUUAUGGUCUUUUUUUUUUUAAUUGAAGUGUGUGUGCUAAUAGCCAUUAGAAAAAUCACAUAACAGAGGAGCCUGUCAAUUUAUGGAUCCUGCUUUGAGACUUCUAGUAUUAGAUGGGUAACCUUUUUUUAAAAUUAGAUAUUGUCAUUGUUUUCCUCUCUUCAUGCUGAAGUAUUCAACAUGCAACCAAAGAUUUUUUUUUGAAGUUUGUUCUUCUUCAUGUUAACUUCCUAAGUCAAAUUAAUGAUUGUAUCAGU
rnacentral:lncRNA from 1 species